CGUAAACAAAGGGAAGCGAACAUGUGAGUGCAAGCGAAUCCCAAAAAUAACGUCUCAGUUCGGAUUGUAGUCUGCAACUCGACUACAUGAAGCUGGAAUCGCUAGUAAUCGCGAAUCAGAAUGUCGCGGUGAAUACGUUCCCGGGUCUUGUACACACCGCCCGUCACACCAUGGGAGUCAGUAACGCCCGAAGCCGGUGACCUAACCGAAAGGGAGGAGCCGUCGAAGGUGGGACCGAUAACUGGGGUGAAGUCGUAACAAGGUACC
rnacentral:rRNA from 1 species